GAUGAACGCUGGCGGCGUGCCUAAUACAUGCAAGUCGAGCGAACAGAUGAGGAGCUUGCUCCUCUGACGUUAGCGGCGGACGGGUGAGUAACACGUGGAUAACCUACCUAUAAGACUGGGAUAACUUCGGGAAACCGGAGCUAAUACCGGAUAAUAUAUUGAACCGCAUGGUUCAAUAGUGAAAGACGGUUUUGCUGUCACUUAUAGAUGGAUCCGCGCCGCAUUAGCUAGUUGGUAAGGUAACGGCUUACCAAGGCAACGAUGCGUAGCCGACCUGAGAGGGUGAUCGGCCACACUGGAACUGAGACACGGUCAAGACUACUACGGGAGGCAGCAGUAGGGAAUCUUCCGCAAUGGGCGAAAGCCUGACGGAGCAACGCCGCGUGAGUGAUGAAGGUCUUCGGAUCGUAAAACUCUGUUAUUAGGGAAGAACAAAUGUGUAAGUAACUAUGCACGUCUUGACGGUACCUAAUCAGAAAGCCACGGCUAACUACGUG
rnacentral:rRNA from 1 species